rnacentral:rRNA from 1 species
UACGAAGGGGGCUAGCGUUGUUCGGAAUUACUGGGCGUAAAGCGCGCGCAGGCGGCUAUCCAAGUCAGUGGUGAAAGCCCGGAGCUUAACUCCGGAACUGCCAUUGAAACUGUUUAGCUUGAGGACGAGAGAGGUGAGUGGAAUUCCCAGUGUAGAGGUGAAAUUCGUAGAUAUUGGGAAGAACACCGGUGGCGAAGGCGGCUCACUGGCUCGUUUCUGACGCUCAGGCGCGACAGCGUGGGGGAUCAAACAGG